rnacentral:rRNA from 1 species
CGAAAGCCUGACGGAGCAACGCCGCGUGAGGGAUGAAGGCCUCUGGGCUGUAAACCUCUUUUAUCAAGGAAGAAGAUCUGACGGUACUUGAUGAAUAAGCCACGGCUAAUUCCGUGCCAGCAGACGCGGUAAUACGGGAGUGGCAAGCGUUAUCCGGAAUUAUUGGGCGUUAAGCGUUCGCAGGCGGCCUUGUAAGUCUGUCGUCAAAGCGUGGAGCUUAACUCCAUUUAAGCGAUGGAAACUGCAAGGCUAGAGUGUGGUAGGGGCAGAGGGAAUUCCCGGUGUAGCGGUGAAUUGCGUAGAUAUCGGGAAGAACACCAGUGGCGAAGGCGCUCUGCUGGGCCAUAACUGACGCUCAUGGACGAAAGCCAGGGGAGCG